rnacentral:lncRNA from 1 species
CUUAAUUUCUUUUCAAAUUUAUCUCUAUCUUCUACAACUUUCUCUCUCUGUCUCUCUGGGAGUGUGUAGAUUGAUGACAAGUAACCACGGUACGUUAAUGCCUAAGAGGAGGAGAAGACAAAGAGGACAAGGGUGGCUAAAUCGUCGCUUCAGGGGGGGCUUCUUGUUUCGUUUUACUUUAAUAUCAUUAUGAUAUUUAUGAAACGCUAAUCUGAUAGAGUGUUUGGGAAUAGGGUUGUUCUAAAAAUCAAAAUUUACAUUGGAAAGAGGGU